CAGUCGCCGCGGUAAUACGUAGGUCCCGAGCGUUGUCCGGAUUUAUUGGGCGUAAAGCGAGCGCAGGCGGUUAGAUAAGUCUGAAGUUAAAGGCUGUGGCUUAACCAUAGUACGCUUUGGAAACUGUUUAACUUGAGUGCAGAAGGGGAGAGUGGAAUUCCAUGUGUAGCGGUGAAAUGCGUAGAUAUAUGGAGGAACACCGGUGGCGAGAGCGGCUCUCUGGCUUGUAACUGACGCUGAGGCUCGAAAGCGUGGGGAGCAAACAGGAUUAGAUACCCGUGUAGUCCCUGUCUCUUAUACU
rnacentral:rRNA from 1 species